rnacentral:rRNA from 1 species
AGUGAACGCUGGCGGUAGGCCUAACACAUGCGAGUCGAACGGCAGCACAGGAGAGCUUGCUCUCUGGGUGGCGAGUGGCGGACGGGUGAGGAAUACAUCGGAAUCUACUCUGUCGUGGGGGAUAACGUAGGGAAACUUACGCCAAUACCGCAUACGACCUACGGGUGAAAGCAGGGGACCUUCGGGCCUUGCGCGAUUGAAUGAGCCGAUGUCGGAUUAGCUAGUUGGCGGGGUAAAGGCCCGCCAAGGCGACGAUCCGUAGCUGGUCUGGCAGGAGGAUCAGCCACACUGGGACUGAGACACGGUCCAGACUCCUACGGGAGGCAGCAGUGGGGAAUAUUGGACAAUGGUCGCAAGCCUGAUCCAGCCAUACCGCGUGGGUGAAGAAGGCCUUCGGGUUGUAAAGCCCUUUUGUUGGGAAAGAAAUCCAGCUGGCUAAUACCCGGUUGGGAUGACGGUACCCAAAGAAUAAGCACCGGCUAACUUCGUGCCAGCCGCCGCCGUAA